CCUGCAGAACCAGAUGACCAGGCUGGAGAACCAACUGUUUACACUGCAGAAACAGACCAGUCCAGCUCCAGUCCAGACCAGUCGUAAGUCAGCGGUGGAGCCGGCCCGUGACCAGGGGGGAAUGGGGGGGCUGGGCCUCGGUGAUCUCCGUCCAUGGCUAGAGAGGAGGGGAGGGCAAUGAGAGACCUCCGAGACAGAGUCCCUGUCAUCCACAUACCUACCCUCACUGGAGCAACUACUCACCUCCCCAGACCCCAAACAGGAGCCGUUUGUGUGGCAGGUGGAGACCGACUAAAGGGAGUUGAAAUCAGAAGUUGACCA